rnacentral:rRNA from 1 species
CCUACGGGAGGCAGCAGUCGAGAAUCUUUCACAAUGGGGGAAACCCUGAUGGUGCGACGCCGCGUGGGGGAAUGAAGGUCUUCGGAUUGUAAACCCCUGUCAUGUGGGAGCAAAUUAAAAAGAUAGUACCACAAGAGGAAGAGACGGCUAACUCUGUGCCAGCAGCCGCGGUAAUACAGAGGUCUCAAGCGUUGUUCGGAAUCACUGGGCGUAAAGCGUGCGUAGGCUGUUUCGUAAGUCGUGUGUGAAAGGUGCGGGCUCAACCCGCGGACGGCACAUGAUACUGCGAGACUAGAGUAAUGGAGGGGGAACCGGAAUUCGCGGUGUAGCAGUGAAAUGCGUAGAUAUCGAGAGGAACACUCGUGGCGAAGGCGGGUUCCUGGACAUUAACUGACGCUGAGGCACGAAGGCCAGGGGAGCGAAAGGGAUUAGAUACCCCAGUAGUC